ACGGGUGAGUAACGCGUGGGAAUCUACCCAACCCUACGGAAUAACGCAUGGAAACGUGUGCUAAUACCGUAUACGCCCUUCGGGGGAAAGAUUUAUCGGGGAUGGAUGAGCCCGCGUUGGAUUAGCUAGUUGGUGGGGUAAAGGCCUACCAAGGCGACGAUCCAUAGCUGGUCUGAGAGGAUGAUCAGCCACAUUGGGACUGAGACACGGCCCAAACUCCUACGGGAGGCAGCAGUGGGGAAUAUUGGACAAUGGGCGCAAGCCUGAUCCAGCCAUGCCGCGUGAGUGAUGAAGGCCCUAGGGUUGUAAAGCUCUUUCACCGGUGAAGAUAAUGACGGUAACCGGAGAAGAAGCCCCGGCUAACUUCGUGCCAGCAGCCGCGGUAAUACGAAGGGGGCUAGCGUUGUUCGGAAUUACUGGGCGUAAAGCGCACGUAGGCGGAUAUUUAAGUCAGGGGUGAAAUCCCGGGGCUCAACCCCGGAACUGCCUUUGAUACUGGGUAUCUAGAGUCCAGAAGAGGUGAGUGGAAUUCCGAGUGUAGAGGUGAAAUUCGUAGA
rnacentral:rRNA from 1 species